UACGAGGGGGGCGAGCGUUGUUCGGAAUUAUUGGGCGUAAAGGGUGCGUAGGCGGCUUUUUAAGUCAGGGGUGAAAUCCUGGAGCUCAACUCCAGAACUGCCUUUGAUACUGAGAGGCUCGAGUCCGGGAGAGGUGAGUGGAACUGCGAGUGUAGAGGUGAAAUUCGUAGAUAUUCGCAAGAACACCAGUGGCGAAGGCGGCUCACUGGCCCGGUACUGACGCUGAGGUGCGAAAGCGUGGGGAGCAAACAGG
rnacentral:rRNA from 1 species